GAUGAACGCUGGCGGCGUGCUUAACACAUGCAAGUCGAACGAAGUGGCGAACGGGUGAGUAAUACGUGGGUAACCUGCCUAUAUGUCUGGGAUAACCUUUGGAAACGGGGUCUAAUACCGAAUAAAGUGGUAUGGGGUCGGGGCCUAUCCGCUUGUUGGUGGGGUGAUGGCCUACCUAGGCGGUGACGGGUAGCUGGCCUGAGAGGGUGACCGGGCACAUUGGGACGGAGAUACGGCCCAGGCUCGUAAGGAAGAGAGCAGUGGGGGAUAUUGGCGAAAGGGUGAAAGCGUGAUGCCGCGACGCCGAUUAGGGGAUGAGGGCUUUAGGAUUGUGAUACUCUUUCGGAAUCGAAGGGGUAGGUGGAGAAGAAGCGCCGGCUAACUACGUGCCAGCAGCCGCGGUAAUAC
rnacentral:rRNA from 1 species